AGGAUCGAGGGCUGCUGGGGGUGGACAAGAGCAGGAAAGGAUUUGUUUAGAGCUUCUAGUCUCUUCCAACCACGAGGAAGGACUCUGAACUUUUACCCUGAACUCGGCCUGGUGUGCCAGUGGCCUUGUUUCCGGACACGCAGGCCGGCCUCUCUCUUAACACGGGGCUGCAGACGUCCUGUCGAUUCCCAGGGCACGGAGUGGUCAGAGAACCAAACAGGCAGCCUGAGCAUCAGAACUCCUACAAGGUUGACUUUAAUGGGGGCUGCCUUCGGCGACUAAAGCAAUCUUGAAAGGGCUCUUCACCGCAAAGCUGUCUGCACACAAGGCCCCAGCAGGCAAAUCUGGGCAACACCCUGCCGUGUCCACUGCACUAGCUCAGGAUCCGACUCCACUACUCACUGCCAGUGUGACCUGGACCAAAGAAGCUCAACCUCUCUGAAUCACAGUUUGCCCAUCUGACAAAUGGGGGCUGCACCCAAGGCCUACACCACAGACACAGCAACACAUGUCUGCGACCUACACCACAGCUCACGUCAAUGCCGAAUCCCUAACCCACUGAGCGGGGCCAGGGAUCGAACCCACAUCCCCACGGAUACUAGUUGGGUUCAUUACCAUUGAGCCACGACAGGAACUCCUAGAUGAAUGAUUUUCACACAGACUAAGCCCCCUUCCCACUUUUUGUGACUUUUCACUUCUGUGACUCCCCUGAGCCCCCGCUCACUCCCUUCCCCCUCUUCCAUCCUCCCCUUAAAACGCUCGGUCACCUCUGUAUCGACUGAGGCUGGAUUCAGUUUAUGCUAGACUCUUUUCCUCAUUACAAAACUACUACUGAUCAAAAUCUGUACACACAGGAGUUCCUGUUGUGGCGCAGCAGAAAUGAAUCUGACUAGGAACAAUGAGGUUGCGGGUUAAGGAUC